rnacentral:rRNA from 1 species
UGGGGAAUAUUGCACAAUGGGCGAAAGCCUGAUGCAGCGACGCCGCGUGAGGGAUGACGGCCUUCGGGUUGUAAACCUCUUUCAGCAGGGAAGAAGCGAAGGUGACGGUACCUGCAGAAGAAGCGCCGGCUAACUACGUGCCAGCAGCCGCGGUAAUACGUAGGGCGCAAGCGUUGUCCGGAAUUAUUGGGCGUAAAGAGCUCGUAGGCGGUUAGUCGCGUCUGCUGUGAAAACUCGAGGCUCAACCUCGGGCUUGCAGUGGGUACGGGCUGACUAGAGUGCGGUAGGGGUGACUGGAAUUCCUGGUGUAGCGGUGGAAUGCGCAGAUAUCAGGAGGAACACCGAUGGCGAAGGCAGGUCACUGGGCCGCAACUGACGCUGAGGAGCGAAAGCAUGGGGAGCGAACAGGAUUAGAUACCCUGGUAGUCCAUGCCGUAAACGUUGGGCACUAGGUGU